rnacentral:lncRNA from 1 species
UAAGGACUAUACUGACCCAUUUUCAAAUUGUCAAAACUGAAUAAACAUGAUCAAUUUUAUAAUCCCCUUGGUAGAGAAAUCAGAAAUAACAAAAAACAAUUUUAUAAGUCUUUUCAUGUAGAAGCAAUGACCUGACAAGUGAGCUACUGGAAUUUUGGAGGUGAAAAUAAAAGGGUGUUUAGUGUAGUUUAUUUUGUAUUAAAUCAGCUUAUAUAUUGAGUCUAUUAAAAAAUAAAUGUACAUAAUUUGUUUGGUUUAGGUUGAUUAUUCUUAUAUGAAAUUAGUUCAUAAGCUGAGUUUACUCAUUAUAAGUUAGAAGCUUAUAAGUCUGGA